rnacentral:rRNA from 1 species
UACGUAGGGUGCAAGCGUUGUCCGGAAUUAUUGGGCGUAAAGAGCUCGUAGGCGGUUUGUCGCGUCGACCGUGAAAACCCGUGGCUCAACUACGGGCUGGCGGUCGAUACGGGCAGGCUGGAGUUCGGUAGGGGAGACUGGAAUUCCUGGUGUAGCGGUGAAAUGCGCAGAUAUCAGGAGGAACACCGGUGGCGAAGGCGGGUCCCUGGGCCGAUACUGACGCUGAGGAGCGAAAGCGUGGGGAGCGAACAGG